AACGAACGCUGGCGGCGUGCCUAACACAUGCAAGUCGAACGUGAUUGGAAGCUUGCUUCCAUGAAAGUGGCGCACGGGCGAGUAACGCGUAGAUAAUCUGCCUGGUGAUCUGGGAUAACACUUCGAAAGGGGUGCUAAUACCGGAUAAGCCCACGGAGUCCUUGGAUUCUGCGGGAAAGGGAGGGGACCUUCGGGCCUUCCGUCAUCAGAUCAGUCUGCGUAGCAUUAGCUAGUUGGUAGGGUAAAGGCCUACCAAGGCGACGAUGGUUAGCGGGUCUGAGAGGAUGAUCAGCCACACUGGAACUGAGACACGGUCCAGACUCCUACGGGAGGCUGCAGUGGGGAAUUUUGCGCAAUGGGGGAAACCCUGACGCAGCAACGCCGCGUGAGUGAUGAAGGCCCUUGGGUCGUAAAGCUCUGACAGAGGGAAAGAAAUGUGAGUGGCUAAUAUCCAUUCCACUUGACGGUACCCUCAAAGGAAGCACCGGCUAACUCCGUGCCAGCCGCCGCAGUAAGAC
rnacentral:rRNA from 1 species